rnacentral:rRNA from 1 species
GAAAGUGCCUAAAGACGAGCUCGCGCCUGAUUAGCUAGUUGGUGGGGUAAAGGCCUACCAAGGCGACGAUCAGUAGCUGGUUUGAGAGAAUGAUCAGCCACACUGGAACUGAGACACGGUCAGACUCCUGCGGGAGGCAGCAGUGGGGAAUUUUCCGCAAUGGGCGAAAGCCUGACGGAGCAAUACCGCGUGAGGGAUUAAGGCCUGUGGGUUGUAAACCUCUUUUCUCAAGGAAGAAUCAAUGACGGUACUUGAGGAAUAAGCAUCGGCUAACUCCGUGCCAGCAGCCGCGGUAAUACGGGGGAUGCAAGCGUUAUCCGGAAUUAUUGGGCGUAAAGCGUCUGUAGGUUGUUUAAUAAGUCUGUUGUUAAAGACUGGGGCUUAACCCCAGGAAAGCAAUAGAAACUGUUAGGCUAGAGUAUGGUAGAGGUAGAGGGAAUUCCUAGUGUAGCGGUGAAAUGCGUAGAUAUUAGGAAGAACACCGGUGGCGAAAGCGCUCUGCUGGGCCAUAACUGACACUCAGAGACGAAAGCUAGGGUAGCAAAUGGGAUUAGAUACCCCAGUAGUCCUAGCCGUAAACGAUGGAUACUAGAUGUUGCGUAACUCGAUUAUGCAGUGUUCUAGCUAACGCGUUAAGUAUCCCGCCUGGGGAGUACACUCGCAAGGGUGAAACUCAAAGGAAUUGACGGGGGCCCGCACAAGCGGUGGAGCAUGUGGUUUAAUUUGAUGCAACGCGAAGAACCUUACCAAGGCUUGACAUGUCACGAAUCUUUUUGAGAAGAAAGAGUGCCCUCGGGAACGUGAACACAGGUGGUGCAUGGCUGUCGUCAGCUCGUGUCGUGAGAUGUUGGGUUAAGUCCCGCAACGAGCGCAACCCUUGUCUUUAGUUACCAUCAUUUAGUUGGGGACUCUAGAGAGACUGCCGGUGACAAACCGGAGGAAGGUGAGGACGACGUCAAGUCAGCAUGCCCCUUAUGCCUUGGGCUACACACGUGCUACAAUGGCUAAGACAAAGAGCAGCAAGCUUGUGAAAGUUAGCAAAUCUCGUAAACUU